GCCUGGGUGGCUCAGUCGGUUAAGCGCCUGACUUCUGCUCAGGUCACGGUCUCACGGUCGGUGAGUUCGCGUCCCGCGUCAGGCU
rnacentral:tRNA from 1 species